rnacentral:rRNA from 1 species
AUUGAACGCUGGCGGCAUGCCUUACACAUGCAAGUCGAACGGCAGCGCGGACUUCGGUCUGGCGGCGAGUGGCGAACGGGUGAGUAAUACAUCGGAACGUACCCUGUUGUGGGGGAUAACUAGUCGAAAGAUUAGCUAAUACCGCAUACGACCUGAGGGUGAAAGUGGGGGACCGCAAGGCCUCACGCAGCAGGAGCGGCCGAUGUCUGAUUAGCUAGGUGGUGGGGUAAAGGGCCACCAAGGCGACGAUCAGUAGCUGGUCUGAGAGGACGAUCAGCCACACUGGGACUGAGACACGGCCCAGACUCCUACGGGAGGCAGCAGUGGGGAAUUUUGGGCAAUGGGGGCAACCCUGAUCCAGCAAUGCCGCGUGUGUGAAGAAGGCCUACGGGUUGUAAAGCACUUUUGUCCGGAAAGAAAUCGCGCUGGUUAAUACCUGGCGUGGAUGACGGUACCGGAAGAAUAAGCACCGGCUAACUACGUGCCAGCCGCCGCAGUAA